rnacentral:tRNA from 1 species
GGAGGGGUGGCCGAGCGGCUGAAGGCAGCUGCCUGCUAAGCAGUUGUAGUGUAAAAGCUACCUAGGGUUCGAAUCCCUACCCCUCCG